GAGUAAUGUCUGGGAAACUGCCUGAUGGAGGGGGAUAACUACUGGAAACGGUGGCUAAUACCGCAUAACGUCGCAAGACCAAAGAGGGGGACCUUCGGGCCUCUUGCCAUCAGAUGUGCCCAGAUGGGAUUAGCUUGUUGGUGAGGUAACGGCUCACCAAGGCGACGAUCCCUAGCUGGUCUGAGAGGAUGACCAGCCACACUGGAACUGAGACACGGUCCAGACUCCUACGGGAGGCAGCAGUGGGGAAUAUUGCACAAUGGGCGCAAGCCUGAUGCAGCCAUGCCGCGUGUAUGAAGAAGGCCUUCGGGUUGUAAAGUACUUUCAGCGGGGAGGAAGGUGUUGUGGUUAAUAACCGCAGCAAUUGACGUUACCCGCAGAAGAAGCACCGGCUAACUCCGUGCCAGCAGCCGCGGUAAUACGGAGGGUGCAAGCGUUAAUCGGAAUUACUGGGCGUAAAGCGCACGCAGGCGGUCUGUCAAGUCGGAUGUGAAAUCCCCGGGCUCAACCUGGGAACUGCAUUCGAAACUGGCAGGCUUGAGUCUUGUAGAGGGGGGUAGAAUUCCAGGUGUAGCGGUGAAAUGCGUAGAGAUCUGGAGGAAUACCGGUGGCGAAGGCGGCCCCCUGGACAAAGACUGACGCUCAGGUGCGAAAGCGUGGGGAGCAAACAGGAUUAGAUACCCUGGUAGUCCACGCCGUAAACGAUGUCUACUUGGAGGUUGUGCCCUUGAGGCGUGGCUUCCGGAGCUAACGCGUUAAGUAGACCGCCUGGGGAGUACGGCCGCAAGGUUAAAACUCAAAUGAAUUGACGGGGGCCCGCACAAGCGGUGGAGCAUGUGGUUUAAUUCGAUGCAACGCGAAGAACCUUACCUGGUCUUGACAUCCACAGAAGAAUCCAGAGAUGGAUUUGUGCCUUCGGGAACUGUGAGACAGGUGCUGCAUGGCUGUCGUCAGCUCGUGUUGUGAAAUGUUGGGUUAAGUCCCGCAACGAGCGCAACCCUUAUCC
rnacentral:rRNA from 1 species